rnacentral:rRNA from 1 species
UGGGGAAUAUUGCACAAUGGGCGAAAGCCUGAUGCAGCAACGCCGCGUGAACGAUGAAGGUCCUUGGAUCGUAAAGUUCUGUUGCAGGGGAAGAUAAUGACGGUACCCUGUGAGGAAGCCCCGGCUAACUACGUGCCAGCAGCCGCGGUAAUACGUAGGGGGCUAGCGUUAUCCGGAUUUACUGGGCGUAAAGGGUGCGUAGGUGGUCCUUCAAGUCGGUGGUUAAAGGCUACGGCUCAACCGUAGUAAGCCGCCGAAACUGGAGGACUUGAGUGCAGGAGAGGAAAGUGGAAUUCCCAGUGUAGCGGUGAAAUGCGUAGAUAUUGGGAGGAACACCAGUAGCGAAGGCGGCUUUCUGGACUGCAACUGACACUGAGGCACGAAAGCGUGGGUAGCAAACAGGAUUAGAUACCCUGGUAGUCCACGCUGUAAACGAUGAGUACUAGGUGUCGGGGGUUACCCCCCUCGGUGCCGCAGCUAACGCAUUAAGUACUCCGCCUGGGGAGUACGCACGCAAGUGUG